AGGACUCGAACUAUUCUUUAUCCACAACUACGGAUUCCAGUCUCAAUAACACUCCUCUUCGGCCCUUCCUCGACAACACUCCACUUCAGCCCUUACUUUCCAGCCGACUCCACUCCAGGUAAGUUUAAAGCAAGAGCUAGGCAGUUGACGUGCAGGGACCUUCUGGCCCUGGGGGGGGGGUGGACUUCAAGACCCAAGGCUGGGCUGUUAAUGUGCAGAGGUUCCAGCUCUCAGGUAAGUACAGAGUUCAAUACACAGGUGAGUAUUCACAGGGCUGGGCUGUUAGCGUGCCGGGGUUCUAGCUCUCAGGUAAAUACAGUGUUCGAUACACAGGUGGGUAUUCACAGGGCUGGGCUGUUAGCGUGCAGGGGUUCUAGCUCUCAGGUAAGUACAGCGUUCAAUACACAGGUGAGUAUUCACAGGGCUGGGCUGUUAGCGUGCCGGGGUUCUAGCUCUCAGGUAAAUACAGUGUUCGAUACACAGGUGGGUAUUCACAGGGCUGGGCUGUUAAUGUGCUACUCACCACUGAAGAUAUUCAGAGGUCUGUAUUCCAAGCAGAUACGAGUUUAGUCGAUGACUGACGGCUGGUGGGCCUUACAGGUGAGACUGCAAACAAUACUGGGCUUCCCG